rnacentral:rRNA from 1 species
CUACGGGCUGCAGCAGUAAGGAAUAUUGGGCAAUGGACGCAAGUCUGACCCAGCCAUGCCGCGUGAAGGAUGAAGGCCCUCUGGGUUGUAAACUUCUUUUAUCUGGGGCGAAAGGCGGUUAUUCUUAGCCGUUUGACAGUACCAGAGGAAUAAGCACCGGCUAACUCCGUGCCAGCAGCCGCGGUAAUACGGAGGGUGCAAGCGUUAUCCGGAUUCACUGGGUUUAAAGGGCGCGUAGGUGGAUCUGUAAGUCAGAGGUGAAAUCCCCGAGCUUAACUUGGGAACUGCCUUUGAUACUAUAGAUCUGGAAUAUCGGGGAGGUAAGCGGAAUAUGUCAUGUAGCGGUGAAAUGCAUAGAGAUGACAUAGAACACCAAUUGCGAAGGCAGCUUGCUACACGAUGAUUGACACUGAGGCACGAAAGCGUGGGGAGCAAACAGGAUUAGAUACCCCAGUAGUC